rnacentral:rRNA from 1 species
AGUGAACGCUGGCGGUAGGCCUAACACAUGCAAGUCGAACGGCAGCACAGAGGAGCUUGCUCCUUGGGUGGCGAGUGGCGGACGGGUGAGGAAUACAUCGGAAUCUACUCUGUCGUGGGGGAUAACGUAGGGAAACUUACGCUAAUACCGCAUACGACCUACGGGUGAAAGCAGGGGACCUUCGGGCCUUGCGCGAUUGAAUGAGCCGAUGUCGGAUUAGCUAGUUGGCGGGGUAAAGGCCCACCAAGGCGACGAUCCGUAGCUGGUCUGAGAGGAUGAUCAGCCACACUGGAACUGAGACACGGUCCAGACUCCUACGGGAGGCAGCAGUGGGGAAUAUUGGACAAUGGGCGCAAGCCUGAUCCAGCCAUACCGCGUGGGUGAAGAAGGCCUUCGGGUCGUAAAGCCCUUUUGUUGGGAAAGAAAUCCAGCUGGCUAAUACCCGGCUGGGAUGACGGUACCCAAAGAAUAAGCACCGGCUAACUUCGUGCCAGCCGCCGCAGUAA